GGAACUGUAGCUCAGUGGCAGAGCACUUGCUUAGCAUGUGUGAGGUACUGAGUUUGAUCCUCAGCACCA
rnacentral:tRNA from 1 species